CUUUGGAAAACACUCAAAAGGUACUACGAAAGCUUUUAAUUUGUGAGUCGUCAGAUAGAAACACGUGGCAAACUAAGGAACCCAAAAUCGGUAGAGCCGCGGCGUAGAAAAUCAGUCCACCCCUCUCCCUGAAAUUCCCCUGGGAAGAAAAUUGAAAAUCACAACUUCAAUGGAGAAGAGGCUUAGCGGUAGGGACACAGAAACGUAUAAAAGGCUGAGAGUUUCUAUUUUUCACUUCCCUUUAAAUGAAGUCAAGGAAAUCACUGAAUCCUCCUUCUUUGUAGGACAAGAUAUGUUGUUCAUCCACAAGCGUUGGUGCAGGCCUAACUUUCUUACCUAAAGCUAGACUGUGAAGGCUCGCAAUGGAGAGGCGCUCUUUCUCUGAGUUAACUGUUGCUCGGUGGACAACACCUUUGUAUCGACCAUUGCUCAAUACUUCCAUGUGAUCUCCCAUCUGAACAAUGAGGGCUCCUUCAAUGAAUGGAACUGGAUGCCACUUUUCAUCUCGGUCCAUUAUUUGCAAGCCCUGAUGAUUUUGAAGAAUGAUGGAUAUCAAAGCAUAAUCUGUGUGUGGUGGCAAGCCUAGUGUAAGAGCUGGCUCAGGACAUGCUGGAUAGCAAUUAACGGCCAUGACCUGGGAGCCUUCGGCAAUGUCUUCAUGUAAGUAAUUAGGGUUUAGUCCUAAGCUCUCAAAUAUCACUUCCAUGAGUUCUUCCUGCAACUUUUGUGCUGCCUUUGUGUAAUUUCCCAUUUUCUCCCUGCAUGAAUAACUGCUUUAGGCUCUCGAAAUUAUAUUAUUCUUGAACAAUGAGAAGAUAUGAAUCAGAAAUCUUUCAGAUGAAA